AUUGAACGCUGGCGGCAGGCCUAACACAUGCAAGUCGAGCGGAUGAAGGGAGCUUGCUCCUGGAUUCAGCGGCGGACGGGUGAGUAAUGCCUAGGAAUCUGCCUGGUAGUGGGGGAUAACGUCCGGAAACGGGCGCUAAUACUGCAUACGUCCUGAGGGAGAAAGUGGGGGAUCUUCGGACCUCACGCUAUCAGAUGAGCCUAGGUCGGAUUAGCUAGUUGGUGGGGUAAAGGCCUACCAAGGCGACGAUCCGUAACUGGUCUGAGAGGAUGAUCAGUCACACUGGAACUGAGACACGGUCCAGACUCCUACGGUAGGCAGCAGUGGGGAAUAUUGGACAAUGGGCGAAAACCUGAUCCAGCCAUGCCGCGUGUGUGAAGAAGGUCUUCGGAUUGUAAAGCACUUUAAGUUGGGAGGAAGGGCAGUAAGUUAAUACCUUGCUGUUUUGACGUUACCAACAGAAUAAGCACCGGCUAACUUCGUG
rnacentral:rRNA from 1 species